GGUUAGAAGAGAAUUAAGUGGAGAAUCUGUUAAACCAAUUUGAUCUACUUUAUGCAAGAUCCUUUUUGUUAAACGGAUAGAACUGCCCAAUACUUUUUGGUUCUGCUGCAGAAUCUUCUAUUGCUACAGCUUUUCUGGAGGGGCUUUUUCCAUGUAAGUCGAUGCCCUAUAAAACAAUGUUGCUACAAAUUUUGGCAGAGAAGAUAUUAUCAUUUGCCAGUCAAUGGUCCAAUAUGUAAAAGGAUUGGUGUGUUACAACAGCACUGAAGGCGAUAUGGAGAGCCUUUUUAUUUAGUUUUCUUGUAUAGGACGUCCUACACUUUCUUAGUUUUGGAGUACCUAGCAUCAAUCAACCACAAUUAUUAGUUUUUCUUUUGUUUUUUGGGCUACGCUUGAGUUGCUUAUGUAGAUAAGGAGAAGCAAAGAGAUGCACCUUUGCCUAUAGGAAAAUGCAUAUUGGCAUUUUUUUUUUCCUGUAUUAAGAUUUCUCCUUUAUAUAGGUUUAGCUUAUAAAUGUGUAGAUUUUUCCUCUGCUGUCUAUUAAAGUAAAAAAAAAUUGUUU
rnacentral:misc_RNA from 1 species